UUUGAAAUCUAGCACUUUCAGUGUUCGAGUUGUAAUUUGAAGAAGGUAACUUUGGUUUUGGCUCUUGUCUAUGUUCCUUGGAACAGGACGUCACAGAGGGUGAGAAUCCCGUGCGAUGAGAUGCCCAAUUCCAUGUAAAGUGCUUUCGAAGAGUCGAGUUGUUUGGGAAUGCAGCUCUAAGUGGGUGGUAAAUUCCAUCUAAAGCUAAAUAUUGGCGAGAGACCGAUAGCGAACAAGUACAGUGAUGGAAAGAUGAAAAGAACUUUGAAAAGAGAGUGAAAAAGUACGUGAAAUUGUUGAAAGGGAAGGGCUUGAGAUCAGACUUGGUAUUUUGCGUUCCCUUCCUUUUUGGUUGGGUUCCUCGCAGUUUACUGGGCCAGCAUCGGUUUGGAUGGUAGGAUAAUGACAUUGGAAUGUAGCUUUACUUCGGUGAAGUGUUAUAGACUUUGUUGAUACUGCCUAUCUAGACCGAGGACUGCGUCUUUGACUAGGAUGCUGGCGUAAUGAUCUUAAGCCGCCCGUCUUG
rnacentral:rRNA from 1 species